rnacentral:rRNA from 1 species
AAAGGGUGCGUAGGCGGUCUUUCAAGUCAGGAGUGAAAGGCUACGGCUCAACCGUAGUAAGCUCUUGAAACUGGGAGACUUGAGUGCAGGAGAGGAGAGUGGAAUUCCUAGUGUGGCGGUGAAAUGCGUAGAUAUUAGGAGGAACACCAGUUGCGAAGGCGGCUCUCUGGACUGUAACUGACGCUGAGGCACGAAAGCGUGGGGAGCAAACAGGAUUAGAUACCCUGGUAGUCCACGCUGUA